CAGGGAUAUCCCUGAUUUUAGUGAUCAGUGAAUCAAAUCAAAAUAGCUGAAGGUGCUGAGCUCUUAUUAAAAUGGGUCUACCCAAUCUCUACCAUGCAAGAGUUCAUCUUGAUACAACACUUAAAGUAUGUAUAGAUUUAUCCCCUGUCUUCAUCACUUCACUUUCCGGCACACUCCGGCCCACCUUCCUCUUAUACGGCUGUGUUUCAGUUCUUAACAAUGGCCUCCUCUGUAAGCACUAAUUUAAACCAUUGUCCAUGGUUUUCAUCUCUGACUCGGGAUUGACCUUUCUCCACUGAAUCAUCGACCUCUCCAUUUAUACCGACUGACUCCGAUUGACUGAUUCUCCACACUCUGAUUCAUAGAGUUCUCCACUAACAGAUCACCACUCUAGAUAUCCACUCAGGAUUGUAGGGGUUGGUACAUCAGGUGCCUCACUUAGCUGUCGUCCCAUAAUGGAAACUUAUUCGUGAAAAUGGAGUUUUUUGUGUGGUUAAGAAAGGCAAACGAGGGAGCAAGGUGGUGCAUUCCAGCUACAAUCAUUGUCAAUUAGAAAGAUUCGGGAUUGAACUUUACAGCGAUUCUCAAGGCAGAUCAACAAACACAGCUUCCCAUGAAAUGCACCAGUACAUGCUAGUAGAACACAAACCUUCUGACAAGGUACUCGUCCAAGGUCAGCUACUCUGAGUUGGACAAGGACAAACUCGUACCAGUCGUCCCACCACCAGUUGCCAAAACACAAGGGCAGUACGUUCCGGUAGAGACCAAGCCAGCCAGCAGUGCUGUCAAGGUGAUGGACACCACCAAGGUCAUCUAUGUCGUGGUGGACAAGGACAAACUGAAACCAGUAGAUCCAAACAACCCACCAGCUCUUCCACCAUGACGCCCUGUCACCAACACUGGAGAGCUGCACACAGAGAAGACACUAGCUCUUCCACCACGACAAUGGCCCCCACCACCACCGCCCACCCACGAAACGCUCAUGGUUCUGCUACACCACUCCGUUGACAAGAAGUGGGAGAAUAUCGCCAAGGCACUGAAGGACAGAGUCUAUGAAAUCUUCACAAACAAUGAAAAUGAAUAUCUCCGACAACACGAACUGAUUGAGUAUUAUUUUAUAAACGUCCACUGUAGUCACUCUUGGGAGGAGAUGGUGCGAGUGCUGACGGAGAUAGGGGAGCAUGGUUUGGCUGAGAGAAUAAUGUAAAUUCUCCCCAAGUGGUACGAAUUGUAGCUUGCGUGCAGUUGUAAGAGUUCUGUUUUCGUUGUGUGGUAAACACGUGUCUAUACUACCACAACAAGCAUUCCAGUUUACACAAAAACAACGUACAGCUUACACAAGAAUAAAAUAAUAACUAAAUGCAUUGAUAUACUACCGUAUAGCCGGUAAUUUUCGGGGGGGGGGGGGGGGGGCAAAACAUUCGUGUUUUGAGCAAUAUUUAGUCAUUUCGUGGAUAAUAUUUUCUGCUUGCACUGCAGGUAAAGGUAGGCAAGGUCGCUUCAUUCAUGGGUAAAUAUUUGUAGUUUGAGCUCCAACCACGAAAACAACGAAUAUUUUGUCCCCUAGAAAUUACUAGCUAAGCCUGAUAACGGAGUGUUGUAUGAAAUAUACAUGCAGGCACAUGCCCUGAGGGCAAGCUGCCUGUAUAUUCAAUAACACAAGGAUUCUCAUGCUAUACAUGUAUAUAAUAUUAUGUGUUUUAUAUCACCCCUUAUGCCUGGACUACGUAACCGUGAAAUAAAAUAAAAUAGCACGGAGGGACUGUAUGACUUUUAUUACACACAUUUCUAUAAUUAUGAUGAUACAAUGCAUUGCAAGUAUCAUCUGCAUGGGUGAUGUAAUGCAGGUAAAGUAAAAUGCAAUGCAAGUAAAAUUAUCCCGAGGGCUAAUUAUUGUACCCGUGCCAUGCAAGCAAUAACUAAUACUAGCAGUAGGUCAAGAAGAGCUCCACCAUUGAAUUGAGCCAUUGCAUAAACGCUCGUUUAGUAAUUAAGUAUGUUUAUGGGAUUCUGUACUCUAAUACUGUACUUGUAGUCUGUAUUCUACCUAUACCGUAUGGCGCGAAAUUUUCAAGGCACUUAAUUUUCAUGGAAUUACCUAUCGCUCUAUACGUUAUGUCAAUGCACGUUAUGUCAAUGCACUUUGCAUGCGUCCGCUGUUAACAAUGUUUGUGGAGGACCCUUGAAAACAACGCGCUAUACGGUAUACAUGUAUAAAUUAUUACCCGAAGCCGUGCCGCGGCCAGCGGGUAUAGUAGUUCGUUGGUUUGUUUAUAACAGCUGAGCUUGUUACCUGGCUGCCAUAGUACUGCGUUUACAGCAUAGAUAGCCUCCACACAACAAGUCCUUAGUUUAAAUGGUGGCAGAUUUCGAUGUUAAAGGUUGUCGUAUAAAAGCAAGCAAAAGCUAAGAAGCUUAGUAGAACUUGCUCUACACGCGACCUUUAUUCGAGGUAGAGCUACACAUUUGCAGCUGAAGUGAUCCUUUACCGGUCUCUAUUCAAUGUAGCUCCUCUGACAUCUAUUUAUUCAUGUCAUUAACCGAGGUUAGCACUUCAGUGCUCUAGCACUUGAAGUCAAUCAGUACUAAUGUCUCUAACUAUACAACAUGUGCGCUAAAUUUGCCAUUGCGUGACUGUAUGGAGUGUACAGAAUUAUAAUACAUUGUUUGCUGUAUUCAUGCAUGCAGGUGGCGAGGUGCGAGGUAAGUUGUCUUCAGCUCAGCAGUAGUAUCAGUAGUAUAAGUGUUUGACUAAAUGUGUUAUUAACAAUGCAACGAAUGUGUCAAUGUCAAUAUUCCUUUAUUUAUGCCAUUUUCCUGCCAUUCCAUAAUUGUUAUUAACAAACAAACAAAAUACACCUAUAACCACUGCUAAAACUAAAAUUCUUUUUGUGAUUACUAACAUUAUUUUAUGUUAAUGAUAACGUUUAUGAUUGUUAUAUAAUA